rnacentral:rRNA from 1 species
GACGAACGCUGGCGGCGUGCUUAACACAUGCAAGUCGAACGAAGUGGCGAACGGGUGAGUAACGCGUAAUCAACCUGCCCUUCAGAGGGGGACAACAGUUGGAAACGACUGCUAAUACCGCAUACUGAAGGAGGGGAUUGCGUCUGAUUAGCUAGUUGGAGGGGUAACGGCCGACCAAGGCGAUGAUCAGUAGCCGGGCUUGGUUGAUGAACGGCUACAUUGGGAUGGAGAAACGGCCCAGACUCCUACGGGAGGCAGCAGUGGGGAUUCUUCCGCAAUGGACGAAAGUCUGACGGAGCAACGCCGGGGGAGUGGUGACGGCUUUCGGGUUUUAAAGCUCUGUUAAUCGGGACGCGGUACCUGAAUAGAAAGCCACGGCUAACUACGUGCCAGCAGCCGCGGUAAUUC